CUUUGGAGGCUUUCCUGGAACUUACUCUUGUAGACCAGGCUGGCCUCGAACUCACAGAGAUCCGCUUUCCUCUGCCUCCCGAGUGGUGGGAUUCAAGGCAUGUACCACCUCUGGCUGGCUGCAUUUACUUUUAACCUGUGUGAUGUUUUCUAUUUCUUUCAGGGUAUUCCAAGUUCUAGGUGCAGGUGUGUUCACUCCUCUCUGCUUCCAUUUCUCCAGUAGUUCUCGCUGCUUCUGCAGUUAGAUGUGCAGAGGACAGAAGAAGGUGUCAGUUUUCCUGGAACUGGAGUCUCAGAUGGUUGUGAACUUCCAUGUGGGUGUUAGGACCUGAACUCAAGUCUCCUACAAGAGCAACAGAUUGCCAAUGUGCCUCUGUGAGUGUAAGCUUGGUACCUUCGGCGAGUCCUAAUGAGAAAACAGCAUGCAUAUGCAUGAUCUGGGCAGUGCAACACGUGAUACCUGAAGCAUAAAUUUUCCAGCUUCCUGUCAGCCUCAUGGAGUGGAUGAGCUGGGGGAAGUCUCUGGAGGAGAUUUCAGCCAAUUAGAGGAUCUGAAGAUAAUAGGAAGAGUUCAUUGAAGAAUUCAGAGUUGCUUGGAGGCCCACUCAUAUCAAUAUUCUUCCAUGGCCUCAACUCCUUGUCUUUCAGUAUCAUGGUGUCAUGAGGAAGUUCGUCUCAUGAAAUCUUCUCUUUUAUUAUAACAACAACCAAGCUUACCUGGAAGUCACAAGUUAAACCUGAUUGUUUUGUGUCCUCAGUGACCUAUUUUCUUCUUGAGGUUGUUUGUAUGGAAGGAUUACAAUAGGUCAUGAAAAAACAUACAGUAGGGAAUGAAAAACUAUUGGUCAAAAGACGUUAAAUAUUGCCUGAUUUGUAUGACUGAUCUAAAUGUUAAUUCUUAAUAUGAUAAAUUCUAAAUUAUAGUCCUUUUGCUCUUGAUUACCUUUGAUAAAUGUUUGAGUUUCAAUAGUUUUUCCAUAAACAUUCAACAUUUAUCUCAUACAGUACUAAGCCUCAUAAAUGAGGGACACCUGGAAGCCACCGAAAGAGAAAUCCCUUUCAAGGAAUUUAACAGGAAAUGUUAUUUUCAUUUUAUGAAUGACAAUCUUCCUGGCAUAGGAUCAGUGACACAUGAUUAAUAAAAUGUACACUUUUAAACGCAAA